CUCUCGGUAGCCAAGUUGGGAAGGCGCAAGACUGUAAAUCUUGAGGUCGGGCGUUCGACUCGCCCCCGGGAGACCA
rnacentral:tRNA from 1 species